rnacentral:rRNA from 1 species
AUUGAACGCCAGCGGGAUGCUUUACACAUGCAAGUCGAACGGCAGCGCGAGAAAGCUUGCUUUCUUGGCGGCGAGUGGCGAACGGGUGAGUAAUGUAUCGGAACGUGCCCAGUAGCGGGGGAUAACUGGCCGAAAGGUCAGCUAAUACCGCACACGCCCUACGGGGGAAAGGGGGGGAUCGCAAGGCCUCUCACUAUUGGAGCGGCCGAUAUCGGAUUAGCUAGUUGGUGGGGUAAAGGCCUACCAAGGCAACGAUCCGUAGCUGGUUUGAGAGGACGACCAGCCACACUGGGACUGAGACACGGCCCAGACUCCUACGGGAGGCAGCAGUGGGGAAUUUUGGACAAUGGGGGGAACCCUGAUCCAGCCAUCCCGCGUGUGCGAUGAAGGCCUUCGGGUUGUAAAGCACUUUUGGCAGGGAAGAAACAGCCUGGGCUAAUACCCUGGGUCAAUGACGGUACCUGCAGAAUAAGCACCGGCUAACUACGUGCCAGCAGCCGCGGUAAUACGUAGGGUGCAAGCGUUAAUCGGAAUUACUGGGCGUAAAGCGUGCGCAGGCGGUUCGGAAAGAAAGGUGUGAAAUCCCAGGGCUUAACCUUGGAACUGCACUUUUAACUACCGGGCUAGAGUACGUCAGAGGGGGGUAGAAUUCCACGUGUAGCAGUGAAAUGCGUAGAGAUGUGGAGGAAUACCGAUGGCGAAGGCAGCCCCCUGGGAUGAUACUGACGCUCAUGCACGAAAGCGUGGGGAGCAAACAGG